GGGGGGAACCGGGGUCUUUCUCUCAUCAACCCUGUGCACAUACCUAAACGUUGCUUCGGCGGGAACAGACGGCCCCGUGAAACGGGCCGCCCCCGCCAGAGGACCCCUAACUCUGUUUCUAUAAUGUUUCUUCUGAGUAAAACAAGCAAAUAAAUUAAAACUUUCAACAACGGAUCUCUUGGCUCUGGCAUCGAUGAAGAACGCAGCGAAAUGCGAUAAGUAAUGUGAAUUGCAGAAUUCAGUGAAUCAUCGAAUCUUUGAACGCACAUUGCGCCCGCCAGUAUUCUGGCGGGCAUGCCUGUUCGAGCGUCAUUACAACCCUCAGGCCCCCGGGCCUGGCGUUGGGGAUCGGCGGAGCCCCCCGUGGGCACACGCCGUCCCCCAAAUACAGUGGCGGUCCCGCCGCAGCUUCCAUCGCGUAGUAGCUAACACCUCGCGACUGGAGAGCGGCGCGGCCACGCCGUAAAACACCCAACUCUUCUGAAGUUGACCUCGAAUCAGGUAGGAAUACCCGCUGAACUUAAGCAUAUCAAUAAGCGGAGGA
rnacentral:rRNA from 1 species